UGGGGAUUUGUUGUUCAUGGAAUUGUUGAUGGAUAUAGUAAGGCGAUAGUGGGAAUGCAAGUUAGUGACAACAACCACUCAGAGACUGUUGUCAAACUAUUGCAUUCUAGCUGCAUCAUUUGGGGAACUCCAGCUUGUUUAAGAACUGAUCGAGGAGGAGAAAAUGUAUUAGCAGCUGAUUAUAUGUUAAAUGUACGGGGGGUGUAGAUAAAAAAAAAUGCAAAUAAAUCCAAAAUGUUAAACUAA